GAAUAGCAAGCAAAGCAUCAGCAGCGGCAAUGAAGGAACGAUAAUUACCAACUGCAACCUCUUGCAUUUGGCGACGGAUCCGUUCGGCAUCGACGCGAAGAAGUUCAGGUUCCUUGUGAAGACGAUCGAGAGUGAAGGAGAGAAGUUCAGAGACAUAAGGUUGUUGAGAUUCAGAUGCUAAAGGAAGAGGAAUGGGAAUUUCCUCCAUAUCCGAUGAUCCUGAAACUGCACCUUCCCACUCCAUUAUUAUGUUGUUGGUGUAGAUCGCAAUGCUUCAACUCCGAUCUGGAUCGGGUUAAACGGAAAGAGGUUUGUUUGUUCUCAGGUGUGGUAGUUAAUACUAUAGCUUUCCUGAUAGAGUUAAACAGAAAGAGGUCUGUUUGUUCUCAGAUCUGCUCCAUUUGAUGGCGGCACAAAGGAGACACCGCGGCGGCGAGGAACGAAGGCGUCAUAUCAGCGACGGUGAUGGAGAUGCGACGUAGUAGGUGUUUUGUUUUGAGAGAGAAGUACGAUGGAGUUAUCGUGAAAGAAAGAAGAAGAAUCCUGAUUUUUUAAUCUAAUCUAAACAGUUGAUUAGUUUUAUAUCCACGUGUCACACAUCAGAGCAAGGAACUGAAAAAACUGGAGGAUAGCCAAAUAGAGCAGAUCUGAACUCCCAAACUAAGCUUCCAAUCCGUUUUAAAAAAAUGCAAAAUUUCUCAAAAACAAAACAAGAUGGAAAACAAGUAGGCCGUACCGUACAAAUUAGGCUUAAUUAGUAAAAUGGUCCCUUAAAGAUAUUUUUGGUUUUAGAUUGGUCUCUUAAAGAAAAAAAGGUCCAAAUAGGUCCCUUAAAGAAAAAAAAGUCCGAAUAAGUCCCUUAAAGACAUCUCCGUUAAUCAGUUUGGUCUCUNNNNNNNNNNNNNNNNNNNNNNNNNNNNNNNNNNNNNNNNNNNNNNNNNNNNNNNNNNNNNNNNNNNNNNNNNNNNNNNNNNNNNNNNUUUUCUUUAAGGGAUCUAUUUGGACAUUUUUUUCUUUAAGGGACCAAUCUGAAACCAAAAAUAUCUUUAAGGGACCAUUUUACUAAUUAAGCCUACAAAUUAUACAUCUUGCGGGGAUAGCUCAGUUGGGAGAGCGUCAGACUGAAGAUCUGAAGGUCGCGUGUUCGAUCCACGCUCACCGCAUAAUAUAGCUUUUCUCUCUUUUUUGCUUAUUUUCUUUGAUUACUUUCCUUUGUGUUUGGUUGCAAUUUAUACUCUCCACAAAUUCAUUGUUUCUUUCGGUCAGCUGUUAGUUUGACUCAUGCUGGAUUCUUUUACUAAAAUAAGAUGAAAUCAAAUGGUGUUGAUUGUUAAUUUUUGUUUUGUGAAAAUGAUUUCUGAGUUUUGAUUAGUAUCUUAUGAACUUUUUCCCUUCUGUAAAAUUUUUCUCCGAAAUCUUUCAUCAUUAAAAUGUGUCAUAGGGUAAUGAAUUAUGAGUACUUCAUAUUUAGUACAAGUUCAAAUGGAGUGGAUAUUCUUAGUUUUUGGGGGUGUUGAGCAUUGUUAAGAUGAAACCAAAUGGUGUUGAUUGUUAAUUUUUGUUUUGUGAAAAUGAUUUCUGAGUUUUGAUUAGUAUCUUAUGAACUUUUUCCCUUUUGUAAAUUUUUUCUCCGAAAUCUUCCAUCAUUAAAAUGUGUCAUAGGGUAAUGAAUUAUGAGUACUUCAUAUUUAGUACAAGUUCAAAUGGAGUGGAUAUUCUUAGUUUUUGGAGGUGUUGAGCAUUGUUGGUAGGAGUAAGAUACAUCAGUUUUGUUUGAAAUCAUGAUUAAACUGGUGACUUAAUGUGAGCAAUGAGGCAAUUAGCUGAAAGAAAUAAAAGAAACAUUGGUAAAAUAGUUACUCUCCAAAAAUUAACCGGAUUAUGUCAUUUUCUUAAAUUAUCAGUGUCGACGUGUAAGCGCCUGUGUUGUGUCCAAUAUGCCCAUGCUUCAUAGUCUAUCACAUAUGUUACUUGUGGAAUAUCAUUCAGGUGGAUGAAUGAGCAAGCACAUGGCUGAUACCUAAAACUGUUUUGACACAUUCAAACUAGAAAAUCUAAUAUCAAUUUUUUUUAUCAUGAAAAUCAUGAUCAUGUAAUGACCGAGCAGUGUAGAGUAUUAAUUUUAUGUUUUAACAAUAAAUUCUUAACUGAUAUAAUGAAUCAAUACAGAAACAAGCUAGAUUGUAGUAAGAGAAUAUGCAAAAGAUGGCUGUCAUGCUGAUAGGAUUCAAUCCUCAAACCACAUAAUUUAAUCUCAUUUUAUGCUUAUAGUCGAACAACGAUCACUUGUAUGUUCUUGAUUCUCGUCUUGUUACAAAGUGGAAUGGGAGAAUCAACAAACUUGAUCAUUUAGCAAAUAAACUAAGUAAAAAUUAAGCCAACAUUCCAUUUUUUUAUGCCAAAAUGUUGUGUCUGACUCUGCACUCAGGGCGAGCCAAUCUUCUUAACACCGAUGCAAGGAGAGUUUGGAUAGAACACAACUUUGCUCUCAACCUUAGGUAAACUUGCAGGAUUUAGAAUGAUGUGUUAUUUUGUAUAUUAUCUUGCAAUUGACCUUUUCAGACAACAAAUCUAUUGAAAAAGUAAAUAUACUGAUUAGUUAAAAUUUGUUGUGAUUUUGGCAACCGGCAGGAGAAGAACGCUUUUGAAUUAAGACCAAGGACAACAAUCAAGUUUGGUAUGAAACACAUUAAUCCUUCAAACUCCAUGUAUACAUUAUCUGCUAUAUUGUUCUAGCACUAUGGAAUAAUAACUAUAUGCAUAUGCAUUGACAAUAAAGACGACAUGUAGAAGAUUUCAUUCGGAUGUACAUAACAUAGCCUUCCAUCCUUAACCUACACAGUUUAAUCAACUGUGUAGGUUUGUUUAAUUUAAUCUCAUUAUUAUAUACUUGUAGCAGAACAAACAUAAAUUAGCAAAUAGUAUUCUCUAGUCUCUACAUUCUGCAUUUCUUUAGGGAGAGGCAUUCUUCUUCAUAUUGACACUCUUCGCUGUUGAAAUGACAAAGAACAUAUCAGAUUUGAUAAAACAUUCAAAGCAAGUAUUCUAUAUCUUUUGAUUGAAUAAACUCACAUUCUUGCAUCUCAAAAAACAUAAAUAUAGAAAAAUGUUAUUUUGACACAAACACUGUAUGCAUCAUGUUACACGAACAUGAUUAAUGGAUUUCAAAUACAUGGUUAAUUAUGUGUAGUCGACGGUUAAUGCAUAUCAUGUGUUAUGUGUAUUUGAACACAGUGAUUUUUUGACACAAUAUUGUGCCAAAGAUCACUGGAUGAAUAUAACAGGAUGCUGUAACAGGAUGCUGUAAUUCGUUAACCAUCCAUUGAACGUAAUUGAACCUGUACUUUUACUGUGUCAAGUGUCAACCCUAUAAUAAAGUUCACGUGGCAUUUAUAUAUAGUGUCGUACAUUGUCAACAAAUUGUGUGUCAAAAUAACUCAACUGAUAAAUAAAGUCCUUUGAAGAAUCACCUCAUUAAGUUAUGGUGCUAUCCUAAAAUAACAUUAUAUUAGGACAAAUAAAGAGAUAGGAAGGAGAUUAUAAAGAAUUUACCAUUGCUUGGUUGUGGAGAAGAAAAUGGGGAGAAAGGUAAUAGUGAAAAGGAAAAUGGGAAGAAAGAAAAAAGUGAAAAAGAGUAGAUUUUUAUAAUAAUAUUUAGCAUUUAGCAUGAGUAAAAACAAGAAGAAAUUAAUAUUGAGUCCUCUCCGCUUGUUUGCUUUGAUUGAAAAAUAAGAAAUAAGGAAAACAUUGUUUACUUAAAGUACAAAACACCCAUACACCCAUAUAAUUAGAAAGCAAAAGACAUGGAAUUGUUGGCCAUUAAAUUGAUGUGCCAGUUUAAAAUGAUCUAUUACGAAUUUAGAGUGGUAUACCAGAAUGAUUAAUACUUGUAGCAAUUGAUUACAUGUAGUGUAUACAUGAUAACAAAUUUACCCUCCCAAGUCAGAAUGACAUAAGUCUAAUAAUAAAUGCAAUAAUUUAUUAUUAGUAUUGUGGUACAGAAUCAACAAAUUACACUACAAAUGGUUGUGCUUAUUAUCCUUUGAGAACGGUUAGCUGCCAGGAAAUGCAUUGUUUUCAGUGCUGCACUAGAUAUACAAUAUUAUUAUUAUUAUUAUUAUUAUUAUUAUUAUUAUUAUUAUUAUUAUUAUUAUUAUUAUUAUUAUUAACACAAAACACAAACACUGCCUUAAAAUCAGAGUCUACUCUUGAUUGGGAACCGGAGGGUUAAGACCACAAACAAUAGUCUACUCUUGUGAAACUUUAACUAAGCAAAAUAGAGCCAUAGUAAACUCAUGCAUCCCUCAUCUUGAAGCUCUUCUUCUGUCAAAUUAAGAUCCUGAUAAACAUUAAACAGGAACCCCAACAAAAAUCAAAUCGGGAAACCACAAAAAAAAGGUCAUGGUACUCAUCAUGCAUCGUCAGAAAUUCUACCAAAUCACCCAGCUCCAUUGCAAAAACACUGCUUCCUAUACACAUUGACCUAAGUCGUGACAUCCCCCUAGGUAAUCCCAAGACCCUACCACCCAAAUCCACAUACCACCGGCCAUCACUUCAAAAUACAUUGACCAGUGACCAGCCGCUGCACCCCAAACUGAGCUUACAUCAACAAUGCACAAUGGUGUAGGGGUAGAUAAGACGAUGCUUGUUAGUGAGGUGAAGACAGUUACUGCAAAGAAGAUGCUUCUCGGGGCAAAGGGCACGAAAGUGUGAGGAUAUUACCAGAAGAGCCAAAAAGUGCCCAUUUUCUCCACUGCUUUUAUUCAUAAAAUGCAGAUAUUGCAAAAUGUGAGACCGGAUUUUAUCUCUCCAAACAAGGGAGACUCUCUUUUUCACCCACACAAAUUUACUCCUCUCUUUCCUUCUAAAUAUAUCAAGAUAUCCGAAAUAGNNNNNNNNNNNNNNNNNNNNNNNNNNNNNNNNNNNNCUCACUUCAAAUUUUAAUAUCUUGAUAUAUUCUAUGAAUUGAAACCCAAUGAAAUAAAGUACAUAAUAUUACACAGUGCUAUAUAUGUAUUAUGUAUUACUUGCAACAUCUGCAUAAAGAUGUAUCUAUAAUUUUAUUUUAUUUUCUAAUUGCAACAAAUGAAUUGCAAUGCUUGAACUCACUUGAAUCAUUUAAUUCCCCAAUUCAGCUAAAAAUAAACUCAAUCUAAACCAAUUCAAGCCUUAAUACACAAAAAACAUGAUAAUAAUAAUAUUUGCAAUAGAUAGUAAGUAAAUCAGUUCCAUUGAAAUAGAAAAGUGAAAUAUUAUUAGGAAGAAAAAAAAGAAUACCAUAGAUUCAAGAUGAUUAUCAAUAGAAGAAACUUCAUGGCGAAUAGCAAACAAAGCAUCAGCAGCGGCAAUGAAGGAACGAUAAUUACCAACUGCAACCUCUUGCAUUUGGCGACGGAUCCGUUCGGCAUCGACGCGAAGAAGUUCAAGUUCCUUGUGAAGACGAUCGAGAGUGAAGGAGAGAAGUUCAGAGACAUAAGGUUGUUGAGAUUCAGAAGCUAAAGGAAGAGGAAUGGGAAUCUCCUCCAUAUCCGAUGAUCCUGAAACUACACCUUCCCACUCCAUUAUUAUGUUGUUGGUGUAGAUAGAUCUGGAUCGGGUUAAACGGAAAGAGGUUUGUUUGUUCUCAG
rnacentral:lncRNA from 1 species